UACGGGGGGAGCAAGCGUUGUUCGGAUUUACUGGGCGUAAAGGGCGCGUAGGCGGCCACUGCAAGUCGGUUGUGAAAUCUCCGGGCUUAACCCGGAAAGGUCAACCGAUACUGCAGGGCUAGAGUGCGGAAGGGGCAACUGGAAUUCUCGGUGUAGCGGUGAAAUGCGUAGAUAUCGAGAGGAACACCUGCGGCGAAGGCGGGUUGCUGGGCCGACACUGACGCUGAUGCGCGAAAGCCAGGGGAGCAAACGGG
rnacentral:rRNA from 1 species